GAUACUAAGACAAAAGGUAUAUCGUAUAGUAGAUUUACUGGGAUAUGGCUUUUGUCUGUAGGACAUAGAUAACAAGCCAUUUCUAGAUGUGGCUCAACCUAUUUAGUUGAUUUUCUCAUUAUUAUGGGUUUGUGGAGCUCCAUUGGAAUUGGAUAUACUGGAGUAAAAACUUCUGUUUUCUAUCUUCUAUCUUGAUACAGAGGUUUUGAUAAUGUUUGGAAAUUAAAUGUAUAUGAUGAUAGGUAAUAUCCAAAGUACAUUGUUACUUUUUUUCUUCUCAAAACUUACAUAUUAAAAGGAAAAUAUUGUCCGUCAACAGAUACUUGUGAUUUUUACAUGUUCUGUCUUUCAGGGUUUUUGCCCUAGCGAUUGUCGCGAGUUCUAUGCUUAUAUAUAACCUAUCUGAGAUGGUUUGUAACUUGGCUGUAGCACUCAUCUAUCAUUUUCCUGUGCCACGUGAUGAUGUGUUGAGUCAAAAUACAUAUCCAGGUCAUAUUAUGGACAUGUCAAAG
rnacentral:lncRNA from 1 species